UCCAGAGUCAUCGUUUUUCUCCUUGAUCUGUUCAUGCUUUUGUCACAUACUCACUCAAAAUGGUUUAGCUCACCCAGGCGCCCUUUACGUCUGCUUUGUGUUCCCCGGGGAAGGGUGAGGUGCGAUCAGCAUAGCAGGCUCAUGGCUCAAGGCCACACUUUAACAUACCUUUGCAAUGUUACAGUGUUACAGCAGACAGACCGACUCCACCCGGCAGUUUCGCAGAGAGCGAAUCCAGCUUACAUCAAGUGGAAAUAUUUACAAAUCUGGUUGUGAAAGUUGCUGUGGGAACAAAUCCUCGAUUUGGAUCAGACCACAAGCACAAGCCCCCUGAAGUGGUUAUCCACCACACAGGGCCGGCUUUAGCAAGAGGGCCCCGUGCCCUAAAUCCGGAAGUGUGCUGGCAUGCCGGGCGUGCUGCGGGAGGGGGCCUCGGCCCCGGAGGAGCGUGGCGGCUUCUGUGCACCGCAUGAGGGGUGCGUUUGGGAACCUGUUUUAUGGUGCCAGUGUCACGAUCCCAACAACAUCAGCCCGACAUGCUCCAGUGGUUCCCACUCGUCCUUCGAGCAACUCUCGUUGCAGUUCCUCUCCGCAUUUUGGGAACGCUCAUCCCCUCGCUCCACUGGCUGGCUGCCCUCUCUGCACUCCCCAGCGUGCCUUGCAUAAUGGCCACACACCGGGAAUUCCUCCCCAUGGGUGCAGAGACUCUCCCCUCCCUGCUCUCUGGGCCGUGCCCUGCAGGGCUUCUGGCUGCAGUUCCCAGCCUCACCUCAGCGCGCUACUGAUUAUUUGCAAGACUUCAAAAGGGGAAACGAGGCCACGCUGCCAGACAGGGGCCUGCGACGGUGCAAUUAGCCUCUCGGAGCCUGACUCACUCUCCGGGUUAGCUCAGCGCCUGGUUUCUGCUGCAGCACAGCCCAUGGCUUCGGCCCCAUCGCGGUCACUGUGGCUUGGCCUGUGGCGGCAGCGUCUCUGGAAUCAGCUCCGGCUUUCUCUCCACACCUGGGCUCACCGUUGCAGGAAACAGCCCGUGGCCGGGUGAGAGGAAUUUCAGUGCUGCUAUCCUGGGCCAGUGUGGCGCACACACGGGUCCGUCUGGCCCAGCAGCCCAGAAAAGUCCAGAGCUCCAUGUAGUCCAGUGUCCUGCCCCAGACUAAUGUUCUACCUCAUCCAGGGGGCUGUCUCCGUCAUACCCCAGAUGUGGAAACCAUUUUCAUAUUUAGCUAGAAGCCAUCUGGUAUAACAAAAACCAUUUCAGCUUUCUGCUUCUGCACGUCUACCAGAGUGAACUUUCUGUUACCCCAGGACAGAGGCCUGCAAGACGAGCUAUUGGACUGUGUUAAUUGAGCUGAUUAAGGGAGCCUUACUCCCUAGUACCUGCCCACCAUCCUUGCUGAUAAGGCUUCGCUUUUCUAAGUUUAAUUGAUGAUUUCUGUAAUUGGAUAUCCUGACUCAGAUUUGUUUGGUUAAGGGUAUAAAG